GGGCCCUCCAGGACGGACAUCCUUAUUCCACAAAGCCAACGGCCUUCUUUAGCUCGGGAAUUCAUGCAGUUAACAAAAUGAUUUAUUGAGCGUCACUGAACCCACUCUGUCAGGAGAACUAUUAAUAGAUGUGGUAUAAACUCACCAUCCUCAAGCUACCAAGGAUGUACAGUGGGUUCCAAUAAGAGUCUCCAGCCUUCCUCCUAAGGAUGUGGCUCCUUUCACAUAGCCCAAAGACGGCCCCCAGCUUUGUCUGCUAAUUUAACAACCUCAGCUGAAAUAAGGAGCCUCUUUCUCAACAACUCUGGCAGAAGUGCUGAGGCUGGUCUUCUGCGGUCCAGAAUUGUACUUAAAUCAGCAACAACAUCAACAAAAAUUUAAUGCUGCUGUCUGGUGAUUUAGAAAAUAAGAAAUGUAAGUCAACUUUCCUGGUGGCUUAGAAGGCAAAGAGUCUGCCUGCAACACAUGAGACCCAGAUUCAAUCCCUUGGUUGGGAAGAUCCUCUGGAGACAGGAUUGGCUACCCACUCCAGUAUUUUUGCCUGGAGAAUUCCAUGGACAAAAGAGCCUGGGGGCUACAGUCCAUGGAGUCUCAAAGAGUCAGACAUGACAGAGGAACUAACACUUUCAAGAUAAAAGGGACCCACAGAAACUGCACAGAGAGUGGAUCUUCAAGAUUGCAGGAUCCCCUGGCUGCUGAUUUGAGAACAGAGAACAGGCUGUUCAGAAGCAAGGUUGGAUACAGGAAGCCUGUGGAGGGAGGCUCUUGCAACAAUCCAGGUUCUGUCCGCCCUACAUCAGUCACAGGCCGCCGGGGCUGGGAUACAAGCCAGGAAGCCCACUGCCUGUGAAGACACGAAUCCGUUUAGCUCCACUGUAGUACAUUUCAGGACGACGAUCAAUGUUUCAGCUGAAAUAUUUUCCCUGCUGCUCACGAGUUAAGAUUAUUUAAUUGAUCUUUUAACCCUCCUAUUUGUCUGCAGGUCAGCAGGUACAUCCAUAAUCUGCCAUUGCGCUCUUAGAACUCGGUCCAGGGUCUGUAAAUAAGGAUGGGAGAGUGCUGUCUCUGCU
ensembl:lncRNA